rnacentral:rRNA from 1 species
GUUGUCACGCCAGUGGCAUUGCCCGGUAGCUAUGUUCGGACAGGAUAACCGCUGAAAGCAUCUAAGCGGGAAGCCCCUUCCAAGAUGAGAUCUCCCUGAGGCCUUGAGCCUCCUGAAGAGCCGUUCAAGACCAGGACGUUGAUAGGUCGGGUGUGUAAGCGCUGCGAGGCGUUGAGCUAACCGAUACUAAUUGCUCGUGCGGCUUGACUAUAUAACACCCAAG